AGAGUUUGAUCAUGGCUCAGAGCGAACGCUGGCGGCGUGCUUAACACAUGCAAGUCGAACGAAGGCUUCGGCCUUAGUGGCGGACGGGUGAGUAACGCGUGGGAACCUACCUUGCGGCGGGGAAUAACAGUUGGAAACGACUGCUAAUACCGCAUACGCCCUAUGGGGGAAAGGCUUCGGCCACCGCUUGAGGGUCCCGCGUCCGAUUAGCUUGUUGGUGAGGUAACGGCUCACCAAGGCGACGAUCGGUAGCUGGUCUGAGAGGAUGAUCAGCCACACUGGGACUGAGACACGGCCCAGACUCCUACGGGAGGCAGCAGUGGGGAAUAUUGGACAAUGGGGGAAACCCUGAUCCAGCGACGCCGCGUGAAUGAUGAAGGCCUUAGGGUUGUAAAGUUCUUUCGUCCGUGACGAUGAUGACAGUAGCGGAAGAAGAAGCUCCGGCUAACUUCGUGCCAGCAGCCGCGGUAAUACGAAGGGGGCUAGCGUUGCUCGGAAUUACUGGGCGUAAAGCGCACGUAGGCGGCGAUCCAAGUUAGAUGUGAAAGGCCUGGGCUUAACCCGGGAACUGCAUUUGAUACUGGAUCGCUAGAGUCCAAGAGAGGGUAGUGGAAUUCCCAGUGUAGAGGUGAAAUUCGUAGAUAUUGGGAAGAACACCAGUGGCGAAGGCGGCUACCUGGCUUGGUACUGACGCUCAGGUGCGAAAGCGUGGGGAGCGAACAGGAUUAGAUACCCUAGUAGUCC
rnacentral:rRNA from 1 species